AGUGGGAUAACAGGGUCAAAUGGCGGUUCCAUUCCAAUUUCUGAGAAAUCUCCAUACUGCUUUCCAGAGUGGUUGCACCAAUUUGAAAUUCCACCAGCAAU
rnacentral:pre_miRNA from 1 species